GAUGAACGCUGGCGGCGUGCCUAAUACAUGCAAGUCGAGCGAACGGACGAGAAGCUUGCUUCUCUGAUGUUAGCGGCGGACGGGUGAGUAACACGUGGAUAACCUACCUAUAAGACUGGGAUAACUUCGGGAAACCGGAGCUAAUACCGGAUAAUAUUUUGAACCGCAUGGUUCAAAAGUAAAAGACGGUCUUGCUGUCACUUAUAGAUGGAUCCGCGCUGCAUUAGCUAGUUGGUAAGGUAACGGCUUACCAAGGCAACGAUGCAUAGCCGACCUGAGAGGGUGAUCGGCCACACUGGAGCUGAGACACGGUCCAGACUCCUACGGGAGGCAGCAGUAGGGAAUCUUCCGCAAUGGGCGAAAGCCUGACGGAGCAACGCCGCGUGAGUGAUGAAGGUCUUCGGAUCGUAAAACUCUGUUAUUAGGGAAGAACAUAUGUGUAAGUAACUGUGCACAUCUUGACGGUACCUAAUCAGAAAGCCACGGCUAACUACGUG
rnacentral:rRNA from 1 species